rnacentral:rRNA from 1 species
UACGAAGGGGGCUAGCGUUGUUCGGAAUUACUGGGCGUAAAGCGUGCGCAGGCGGCUUCUCAAGUCAGGGGUGAAAGCCCAGAGCUCAACUCUGGAAUUGCCUUUGAGACUGAGUGGCUUGGGUACGGGAGAGGUGAGUGGAAUUCCGAGUGUAGAGGUGAAAUUCGUAGAUAUUCGGAAGAACACCAGUGGCAAAGGCGGCUCACUGGCCCGUUACCGACGCUCAGGCGCGACAGCGUGGGGAGCAAACAGG